rnacentral:rRNA from 1 species
GACGUAGGAUGCAAGCGUUGUCCGGAUUUAUUGGGCGUAAAGAGUUCGUAGGUGGUUCGUUAAGUCUGAUGUUAAAGACUGGGGCUCAACCCUGGGAGUGCAUUGGAUACUGGCGGACUGGAGUGCAGUAGAGGCAAGCGGAAUUCCCAGUGUAGCGGUGAAAUGCGUAGAUAUUGGGAAGAACACCGGUGGCGCAAGCGGCUUGCUGGGCUGUAACUGACGCUGAGGAACGAAAGCGUGGGGAGCAAACAGG